UGGGGAAUAUUGCACAAUGGGCGAAAGCCUGAUGCAGCGACGCCGCGUGAGGGAUGACGGCCUUCGGGUUGUAAACCUCUUUCAGUAGGGACGAAGCGCAAGUGACGGUACCUGCAGAAGAAGCACCGGCUAACUACGUGCCAGCAGCCGCGGUAAUACGUAGGGUGCGAGCGUUGUCCGGAAUUACUGGGCGUAAAGGGCUCGUAGGCGGUUUGUCACGUCGUCUGUGAAAUCCUAGGGCUUAACCCUGGACGUGCAGGCGAUACGGGCUGAGUUGAGUACUACAGGGGAGAGUGGAAUUUCUGGUGUAGCGGUGGAAUGCACAGAUAUCAGGAAGAGCACCGAUUGCGAAGGCAGGUCUCUGGGUAGUAACUGACGCUGAGGAGCGAAAGCAUGGGUAGCGAACAGG
rnacentral:rRNA from 1 species